rnacentral:rRNA from 1 species
CAGUCGCCGCGGUAAUACGUAGGGUGCGAGCGUUAAUCGGAAUUACUAGGCGUAAAGCGUGCGCAGGCGGUUUUGUAAGACAGGCGUGAAAUCCCCGGGCUCAACCUGGGAAUGGCGCUUGUGACUGCAAAGCUAGAGUGCGGCAGAGGGGGAUGGAAUUCCGCGUGUAGCAGUGAAAUGCGUAGAUAUGCGGAGGAACACCGAUGGCGAAGGCAAUCCCCUGGGCCUGCACUGACGCUCAUGCACGAAAGCGUGGGGAGCGAACAGGAUUAGAUACCCCAGUAGUCCCUGUCUCUUAUAC